UUCAGGAGCUCAUGUUAGCAGCACCGAUUAUCUCACGCAGACUCACUGAAAAUGUAAGAAACUAUUCAGCCUUUUAUGUUCAAAACGGAUUCGGACAAUGAUGGAGAGACUCAAGAAGAAGUGACAACAUGUAGAAUGCAACAGGACGUUUCUGAAUGAAGCUGCAGAGCUGUUCACAGGGAUGCAAAAAUGAAAAGUUGUUUGUGUCAGGUGAUAAAUGUACAACUUGUAUCAGCUUGGUUGAAUAGGCUAUCCUGUCUUGGAGAAGAGGAAAGAAAGAACAGUAUCAAGCACUCAUACAUGCCCCACUUGAACUUUUGCUCUUCAUCACCACGCAAUCAGUAAGCACUUAAACCCAUGUAAAUAGCAAAAUUUGUUGGCUGUUAUUAAAUAAAUUGCUCACUGCAGUAUCCUAGAUAUCACAGCUCUAAUGCUGUCUGCAUGAAAGCACAACACAAGCCUUCUGUAGCAGGUACAACACAGUGCUACAGAUGCAAGAUGUGUGAAACAGGCCAAACUGGACACUACUGGUACAUAUAAAACCAGUGUUCAUCUCUGAGAUCACUAACAAUCCUAUUAUAACAUUUUGUUUAUCCAAAUACACUGUUCAACUAAGAGAUUCCCUGUAUGGAUCAGACUAAAUAAGCAAUCCUAUGUUUACAAGUCAUGAGCUUUAACAAAUAGUUAAAGUCCAAAUCUGUCUCUUUGAUCCCACCUCUAAACCUGCUGUAUGUAUUCAGUGAAGUGCAAUGCCAUCCUUUAAGCAGUACAUACACACUGUCUGUAUUUCUUACAGGAUGGCAGUUUGCCAGAUGCCUUUGUUUUGUAGAUUAGUAACCUGUGAAAUUCUAGACAGACCAGCAUACUUGAUGUCAUACAGAGAACACUGAGUGCUUUUGUUCAUUAUGAAUGCAGUGUUUUUAGGAAUUCAUGACUGCUGAAUUUUUCAAUAGUUCUCAACGGGUGGGUCGCAACCCAAAAAAUGGGACACAAGAAAAAAACACAAAUAUGCAAAUGCAAAUGAUAAUAUUCCAAUUAUUUCUAACCAAGGAAUCAUGCAUAGGAAGGCAAAAUAAAUAACGGAAAAAAAUAAGAUUCAAAUGAAAUAUGUGUAGUUAAAUAAAAUAUGUGUUUUGAGCAGUUCGUUUUUGGUAGCCAAGAGCAUGAAUCCAUCAAAACAAUUUAGAAAUGAAAGUUCGGCUUUUCAGUUAUGUCAUGUUAAUUGUUUGGUAUGUUGUAAGUUUUGGCUCCUUUGUUGAGCCACUUGAUGUUCAGUGUAAAACCUGUCUUGAAGCAAAAACAGUUGAGAAAUACUUAUCUAGAACACUGAACAGUCAGAAAUCUGCUAGCCAUAGACCAUCCAACUUCACUUACGCUUGAAAAAUACAUAUUUGAAUGAGUUAAACAUUUAUAUAGCAAAUUAAUGUUUGAAAUAGACACAAACAGCCUCCUCUGCCAUAUCUCAUACUUUAUUGAUAAUUCAUUAUUAAUGAUUAUCUCUGUAUUUCUAUCGCAUGAUCAAUUUUUAAUGGCUGUUUUGUCAGAUUAAUCCUUGAUGAAUCAUUCGUCAUUGUUAAAGCAUAUGUUUGCAUCAGUGUUUGAUGAAAGAUUAAUGCGCUUUUGUCCAUCAGUAACCACUGAAUAAAUAUUUUAGUGGUUGUAAGCUCAAAUCAAAAUUUUGGAUGAAUAAUAAUGAUUGAUGAUUGUCUGUUACACACUUUUUUCCUAUACAAAGACUUGUUUGGGAUUUAUUUUUUCAUAAAUAAACUAGCUUCUCUAUCAGAUGGGAUGUGUAAUAUCCACUAGGAAUGCAUAUAUAAAUAAUAUUUAAGUCUGA